UAACUGGAGGCUUCUGGGGCUGCUCCGUCCAGUAGGCAGCCACAAGCCACGUGUGGCUAUUGAUCACUUGAAGAGUGGCAACCGAAGAACCGAAUUUUUCGUCUUAUUUAACUUCAAUUAAAUUUAAAAACAAGCCGUGUAAAAAUUUUCUGUAACACAACUUCGUCUUGGUAGGAUUACGUGCCACUUAUAAGCGUUGAAAAUGUGGGAUCCAAAUUGAGAUGCACUGGGUAAACUGCAUACUGGAUUUCCGAGUUCCUGCAAAAAUAAUGCGAAAUAUUCAUUUUUAAAUAAUUACACCCUGAAAUAUUUUGGAUCUGUUGAGAGACUGGAUGUAAUUCGGAGUCCCAGACUGUCGGAGUCGGAACCUACUAGUUGAGGCACCUCAUUUUAAAAAUGAACCGGAGGCCCGCCGAGCUCAGAGACCACCGUGCUAGUGAAUGAAGAGGCGGGACGGGAACCCAGAGCACUGGUUGACCCACUACACCCGGCUGAGGGGUCAGUGAGCAGCACCUGCAAAGAACCUGUGGAAUGUUUUGCUUCUGACUGAGCACUGGAGGCAGCUUGAGGGCUUCGUUGCCCCAGGAGGGCUUAGUUGCUCUCUCCCAGCAGAGCACCAUUCCUAGGUGGCCUUACCCUGCCUCUCCCGGGCAGAUACAAAGCGUGACCUACUGGAGGACACAGCAGGAUUCAGUGGGGAAUAAAACUUUUCUGGGGGAAGUGAAGGAGAAGAAAACAGUGGAAAAGAGUUGGGGGAGUAAAAACAGGUGACCAAGUC